rnacentral:lncRNA from 1 species
AAAGAUGUCUAUAUUAUUCACUUAUCUUAAUUACUUUAAUUUAAGAUAUUUAUGCUCCUACAAAAUAAAUAGAAGUUUUUUCUACAAAAAGCAGCAUUAAGACUUCCUAUCAUUUAUCUUUGUUUUUUUACAUCUUUCUAUUAGUUUCUUCUAUGAUUACAUCUAUAUUUUUAUUUUUUAUCAUAUAAUCAUGUUACUAUAGUAUAUACUAUAAUGUUGCAUUCUUUGGUCCAUAAAUAAUUACAAAAAUCAAAAGUAUAUCUUUCAAUAGUACCAAAGAAUAAUGUAGUAUCUUUUUGAGAUUUUUUUUUGGCUUUGACUUUAAUGACUACUUGAACAAUCUUAAUAAAACUUUAUAUAACAUUUGUGUU